rnacentral:rRNA from 1 species
GAUGAACGCUGGCGGCGUGCCUAAUACAUGCAAGUCGAGCGAAUGGAUUAAGAGCUUGCUCUUAUGAAGUUAGCGGCGGACGGGUGAGUAACACGUGGGUAACCUGCCCAUAAGACUGGGAUAACUCCGGGAAACCGGGGCUAAUACCGGCUAACAUUUUGAACCGCAUGGUUCGAAAUUGAAAGGCGGCUUCGGCUGUCACUUAUGGAUGGACCCGCGUCGCAUUAGCUAGUUGCUGAGGUAACGGCUCACCAAGGCAACGAUGCGUAGCCGACCUGAGAGGGUGAUCGGCCACACUGGGACUGAGACACGGCCCAGACUCCUACGGGAGGCAGCAGUUGGGAAUCGUCCGCAAUGGACGAAAGUCUGACGGAGCAACGCCGCGUGAGUGAUGAAGGCUUUCGGGUCGUAAAACUCUGUUGUUAGGGAAGAACAAGUGCUAGUUGAAUAAGCUGGCACCUUGACGGUACCUAACCAGAAAGCCACGGCUAACUACGUGCCAGCCGCCGCCGUAA